CUCCCUCCUCCGGCUGCUCUCCCGGGAGUGCCAAUAUAGGUCGCGUGAGGCGCAAUUCAGAUCUGACGAGUUCAGAUAAAACAGGGUCAUCCAACAUGAGAGCAGGUUGUCCAGAGAGGUUGUGGUCUCCAUCCUCCUCAGAGAUAAUCAAAACAUGACUGGACACAGUGUUCCAGAUGGUCUCCAGAGAAAAGAUCCUGAAAGUGUCGGUAAGGAAUUACAAGAUCCAAGCUAUGUCAGGAAAUACCUCAUCUCCA